GCAAUUACAAUAGAUAGCUUCCAUGUACAUGCAGAACCGUCCGUUAUAGCUUCCAUGACUACGUGAAACGAUUUUGCUUUUGUUUUGUCGGCCAUUAUAUUAUUUUGAUGAAGCACAAAAGGGCAAUUACGCAAAAGGUUCAGUAAGGAUUACAUUAAAAGAACAGUCCAAACCCAAUUAAAUCACACUUAAAAAGAUAAUUAAUAAACACGCAGAUGAUUUAGUGGCUGAUACGUGUUUUCUACACGCCACGCGAAACCACUGCCUGUUCGCCGGCCACCGCUAGAUUCCGAUGAACCGCCACCAAUCAGCCAUU